UACAGAGGUCCCAAGCGUUGUUCGGAUUCACUGGGCGUAAAGGGUGCGUAGGUGGUAGGGUAAGUCUGAUGUGAAAUCUCCAAGCUCAACUUGGAAAUGGCAUUGGAAACUACUUUGCUUGAGAUUUGGUAGGGGGAUCUGGAAUUCCUGGUGUAGCGGUGGAAUGCGCAGAUAUCAGGAGGAACACCGGUGGCGAAGGCGGGAUCCUGGGCCAGUACUGACGCUGAUGCGCGAAAGCCAGGGGAGCAAACGGG
rnacentral:rRNA from 1 species